rnacentral:tRNA from 1 species
UCGGUAAAAACGGGAGAAGUCCCCGGAGAUCCUUUAUUGGUCUCUUGUUCGCGUUUGCAUCGCGUGGUCCUGGGACUGGUUGGGGAGACUACGU